rnacentral:rRNA from 1 species
UAGUAACGGCGAGUGAAGCGGGAAGAGCUCAAGCUUAAAAUCUCCGUGCAAGUUUUGUGCGGCGAAUUGUAGUCUAUAGAGGCGUGGUCAGCGUGGGCGCUUGGGGCAAGUUCCUUGGAAGAGGACAGCAUGGAGGGUGAUACUCCCGUUCAUCCCUGAGUGGCUCGUGCGUACGACCCGUUUUCUUUGAGUCGCGUUGUUUGGGAAUGCAGCGCAAAGUAGGUGGUAAAUUCCAUCUAAAGCUAAAUAUUGGUGCGAGACCGAUAGCGAACAAGUACCGUGAGGGAAAGAUGAAAAGAACUUUGAAAAGAGAGUUAAAGAGUACCUGAAACUGCUGAAAGGGAACCGAAUCGUUUCCAGUGUCUAUAAUCCGUGACAUAUUUCAUUGGCGAGUGUGUGCGUGCGUGUGCUGUGGCAGUGGCUUUUUUGGCUGCGCUCGGUGUGUGUGCUGUGUGUGCUUGCUGGUGCCCUGUGCUGCGGUGGGACGUCAAGGUCAGUUCUUAUGCUGCGGGAAAUGGCUGCCGAGGAGGUAGGGCUUACGCUUGCGUUUGUCUGUUAUAUCUUGGUGGACGAGUAGUCGCGGUUGGGACUGAGGUGCCUACAACGUGCUUUUGAGUGGGUUUGUGUCUCCGUGUGCGCCGUGUGCGGAUAGCUUGCUAUGCGUGUGUGGUUGUGUGUGGAUUGAUGCGGGCUUUAACUUGUUGCCGUUCGGGACGUUGACGAAAUGGAGCGAUCCGACCCGUCUUGAACACGGACCAAGGAGUCUAACAUGUGUGCAAGUGUUAGGGUGUGGAAACCCCAGCSGAAAUGAAAGUAAAGGGCAGCGCAAGUUGUCUGAGGUAGGAAAUGUUGCGGGCUUCGGUCUGCGGCGUGGCACUAUCGACCGAUCAUGAACCUUCGUGGUGAAAGAUUUGAGUUUGAGCACAUAUGUUGGUACCCGAAAGAUGGUGAACUAUGCCUGAGUAGGGUGAAG